GGGUCAGUAGGUUGGUCGUGCCACCGGUACGUACUGGUCUCACUGAUUCCUCCUUCCUGAAGAACCGUAAUGCCAUUAAUUUGGUGUUGCGGGGAAACAGGACUGUUACUUUGAAAGAAUUAGAGUGUUUAAAGCAAGCUGACGCUUGAAUACAUUAGCAUGGAAUAAUGAAAUAGGACGAUCGAUCCUAUUUUGUUGGUUUCUAGGAUUGACGUA
rnacentral:rRNA from 1 species